CGGUCCCCUCGCAACGACAGGUUGUGAACUCCGCCAGGCCCGGAAGGGAGCAACGGUAGCAGCGGACUCGUGUGCCGAGGUGUGGCUGG
rnacentral:SRP_RNA from 1 species